rnacentral:rRNA from 1 species
GACGAACGCUGGCGGCGUGCCUAAUACAUGCAAGUCGAGCGGAAGUUGAAGAGCUUGCUCUUCAACUUUAGCGGCGGACGGGUGAGUAACACGUGGGCAACCUGCCCUGCAGAUCGGGAUAACUCCGGGAAACCGGUGCUAAUACCGAAUAGUUUUCGCCACCUCCUGGUGGCGUACGGAAAGACGGUUUCGGCUGUCACUGCAGGAUGGGCCCGCGGCGCAUUAGCUAGUUGGUGGGGUAACGGCCCACCAAGGCGACGAUGCGUAGCCGACAGGAGAGGGUGAUCGGCCACACUGGGACUGACGCACGGCCCAGACUCCUACGGGAGGCAGCAGUAGGGAAUCUUCCGCAAUGGACGAAAGUCUGACGGAGCAACGCCGCGUGAGUGACGAAGGUUUUCGGAUCGUAAAACUCUGUUGUGAGGGAAGAACAAGUACCAACUAACUACUGGUACCUUGACGGUACCUCACCAGAAAGCCACGGCUAACUACGUGCCAGCAGCCGCCGUAACAC